UGAGCCAAAUGAGCCAAAAACCUAUUUUAAUUCUAGUAUUACUAGCAGUUCCAGUCAUCAUUUCAAAGAGAGAACAUAAAUUCGGAGGUAACACUAACAUCAAGCCAAUCCAACGAAACAUUAUAACCAAAUUUUUUAAGCAAAGUCACAGUGCAGGCGUACUUCAUAUCCUAUAAUUAUUCAUAAAAAGAAAAUUAUUCAUGUAUACUCACAGGUAUCCUCUUCAGGCUAAUCUUGGUGGAUUUGGUUUGAAGGAUUUGCUGUGCAAGUUGGUUUUUCAUUAGAUGGUCUUUUCUUGUAGGCUUGAAAGGACCAUGUUCAGCAAAAGCUCCUUGUCCAACUGAAGAACAGCAAGGACCUUCAAAAUUUCAAAAAAAGUAAAUAAUAAAUGCAUCAGAGUAAAUUCAGAGUUCAGAAUAAAAUAUACCAAUGUGGGGUGAAGCAUAAGCAGAGAAACUAGCAAUGUUACUGCAAAGUAGAGGUUCUGGUUUCGGUGUGGAUUUAUGAUUUCUUUACUAAUUAAUGAGGAAAUUAAGUUCUGAUAUAUACAUCCAGAAGUGCUCAUAAAAUUAAAGUGAAGUGAAAGUAAAAUGAUGUAAAAACUUAUAUGUUUUAUAAAACCAGAAAGCUAAAGAAAUAUCCAAAGAAUGAUGAGAACUAACCAGUGAUGAAGCAAUUCUAACUACAAAAAGC
rnacentral:lncRNA from 1 species